UUCAGAUCUGUUGGGAGUUCACAUCAGUGAUCCAACAACUAUACAGACACCUUCUAUAGCAGUGGGUUUGACUCCAGGUCCUAGAUCUACUUUGCCUCCCAGCACGACAGUGAGUCCUACAGAAGACACCACAGUGACACCAACUACCAGUAAGUAGAUCCACCAAUUUAAACUUAGUUUGCAAAUACAAUAUCUUUGUUCACAUUCAUUAACUAAAGCUCUGACCGGUUAACUAAUAGAUGUAUUCAUAGCUGCUUGUAAUUCCAGUCCAGAUUUGUGUACUUUUAGUCCAUCUGAUUUGUAGGUAAUGUGCAGUGUACUUCUCUCUUUCUGCUUAAUUAAUGACCUUAGAUAUUACAUUCAUUUACAUUUGUUCUUGUGUAAUAUGAGUAAUCUCUUCUCACCAGGUUUGACCUCCCCUUUGACCCCUAGCACGGCAGUGAAUCCUUUAUCAGGUCUCUUAGUCAUCUUUAUCUAGUUAGCUAAUAUAAGUAAAACAAAUAGAGUAGCUUAUCUUCUCCAUGUUUUUGUAUGUUUUUUUCCCAUCACAAAUUUGCCUCAUUACAAAAAGAGGUUGAUAUUUGAUUGAUUAAAAUCAACCCAUUUAGAUGUAUUUUUGUAUAAUCAGAUCCAAUGAUUUGCUUUGCAUCAGGGUCGACUGUUUGCUGUACUUUGACCACUGACACCCCAGCAAGUCCA